rnacentral:rRNA from 1 species
GAUGAACGCUGGCGGCGUGCCUCAUACAUGCAAGUCGAGCGAACGGACGCGAAGCUUGCUUCUCUGAUGUUAGCGGCGGACGGGUGAGUAACACGUGGAUACCCUACCUAUAAGACUGGGAUAACUUCGGGACACCGGAGCCAAUACCGGAUGAUAUUUUGAACCGCUGGGUUCAAAAUUAAACUCCGGUCUUGCUGUCACUUAUAAGAGGACCCGCGCUGCAUUAGCUAGUUGGUAAGGUAACGGCUAACAAAGGCAACGAUGCAUUGCCGACCUGUGAGGGUGAUCGGCCACACUGGAACUGAGACACCGUCCCGACUCCUACGGGAGGCACCAGUAGGGAAUCUUCCGCAAUGGGCGAAAGCCUGACGGAGCAACGCCGCGUGAGUGAUGAAGGUCUUCGGAUCGUAAAUCGCUGUUAUUAGGGAAGAACAUAUGUGUAAGUAGCUGUGCACAUCGUGACGGUACCUAAUCAGAAAGCCACGCCUAACUACGUG